rnacentral:rRNA from 1 species
CAGUCGCCGCGGUAAUACAGAGGAUGCAAGCGUUAUCCGGAAUGAUUGGGCGUAAAGCGUCUGUAGGUGGCUUUUCAAGUCCGCCGUCAAAUCCCAGGGCUCAACCCUGGACAGGCGGUGGAAACUACCAAGCUGGAGUACGGUAGGGGCAGGGGGAAUUUCCGGUGGAGCGGUGAAAUGCGUUGAGAUCGGAAAGAGCACCAACGGCGAAAGCACUCUGCUGGGCCGACACUGACACAGAGAGACGAAAGCUAGGGGAGCAAAUGGGAUUAGAUACCCCCGUAGUCCCUGUCUCUUAUAU